rnacentral:rRNA from 1 species
CACGUAGGGCGCAAGCGUUGUCCGGAAUUAUUGGGCGUAAAGAGCUUGUAGGCGGUUUGUCGCGUCUGCUGUGAAAUUUCGGGGCUUAACCCCGAACUUGCAGUGGGUACGGGCAGACUAGAGUGUGGUAGGGGAGACUGGAAUUCCUGGUGUAGCGGUGAAAUGCGCAGAUAUCAGGAGGAACACCGAUGGCGAAGGCAGGUCUCUGGGCCAUAACUGACGCUGAGAAGCGAAAGCAUGGGGAGCGAACAGG